rnacentral:rRNA from 1 species
UGGGGAAUCUUGGACAAUGGGCGCAAGCCUGAUCCAGCCAUGCCGCGUGGAUGAUGAAGGCCUUAGGGUUGUAAAAUCCUUUCGUUGGGGACGAUAAUGACGGUACCCAAAGAAGAAGCUCCGGCUAACUUCGUGCCAGCAGCCGCGGUAAUACGAAGGGGGCUAGCGUUGUUCGGAUUUACUGGGCGUAAAGCGCGUGUAGGCGGACUUGUAAGUUGGGGGUGAAAUCCCGAGGCUCAACCUCGGAACUGCCUCCAAAACUACAAAUCUGGACCUAAGUAGAGGCAAGUGGAACUGCGAGUGUAGAGGUGAAAUUCGUAGAUAUUCGCAGGAACACCAGUGGCGAAGGCGGCUUGCUGGACUUAUGGUGACGCUGAGACGCGAAAGCGUGGGGAGCAAACAGGAUUAGAUACCCCUGUAGUCCCUGAGCGGGCUGGCAAGGCGCAU